GGGUUGUGAGGUUAAGCGACUAAGCGUACACGGUGGAUGCCCUGGCAGUCAGAGGCGAUGAAGGACGUGCUAAUCUGCGAAAAGCGUCGGUAAGGUGAUAUGAACCGUUAUAACCGGCGAUGUCCGAAUGGGGAAACCCAGUGCAAUUCGUUGCACUAUCGUUAACUGAAUACAUAGGUUAACGAGGCGAACCGGGGAACUGAAACAUCUAAGUACCCGAGGAAAAGAAAUCAACCGAGAUUCCCCAGUAGCGGCGAGCGAACGGGGAGCAGCCCAGAGUCUGAAUCAGCUUGUGUGUUAGUGGAACGGUCUGGAAAGUCCGACGGUACAGGGUGAUAGUCCCGUACACCAAAAUGCACAGGUUGUGAACUCGAAGAGUAGGGCGGGACACGUGGUAUCCUGUCUGAAUAUGGGGGGACCAUCCUCCAAGGCUAAAUACUCCUGACUGACCGAUAGUGAACCAGUACCGUGAGGGAAAGGCGAAAAGAACCCCGGCGAGGGGAGUGAAAAAGAACCUGAAACCGUGUACGUACAAGCAGUGGGAGCACCUUCGGGUGUGACUGCGUACCUUUUGUAUAAUGGGUCAGCGACUUAUAUUCUGUAGCAAGGUUAACCGUAUAGGGGAGCCGCAGGGAAACCGAGUCUUAACUGGGCGUUAAGUUGCAGGGUAUAGACCCGAAACCCGGUGAUCUAGCCAUGGGCAGGUUGAAGGUUGGGUAACACUAACUGGAGGACCGAACCGACUAAUGUUGAAAAAUUAGCGGAUGACUUGUGGCUGGGGGUGAAAGGCCAAUCAAACCGGGAGAUAGCUGGUUCUCCCCGAAAGCUAUUUAGGUAGCGCCUCGUGAAUUCAUCUUCGGGGUAGAGCACUGUUUCGGCUAGGGGGUCAUCCCGACUUACCAACCCGAUGCAAACUACGAAUACCGAAGAAUGUUAUCACGGGAGACACACGGCGGGUGCUAACGUCCGUCGUGAAGAGGGAAACAACCCAGACCGCCAGCUAAGGUCCCAAAGUCAUGGUUAAGUGGGAAACGAUGUGGGAAGGCACAGACAGCCAGGAUGUUGGCUUAGAAGCAGCCAUCAUUUAAAGAAAGCGUAAUAGCUCACUGGUCGAGUCGGCCUGCGCGGAAGAUGUAACGGGGCUAAACCAUGCACCGAAGCUGCGGCAGCGACACUAUGUGUUGUUGGGUAGGGGAGCGUUCUGUAAGCCUGCGAAGGUGUGCUGUGAGGCAUGCUGGAGGUAUCAGAAGUGCGAAUGCUGACAUAAGUAACGAUAAAGCGGGUGAAAAGCCCGCUCGCCGGAAGACCAAGGGUUCCUGUCCAACGUUAAUCGGGGCAGGGUGAGUCGACCCCUAAGGCGAGGCCGAAAGGCGUAGUCGAUGGGAAACAGGUUAAUAUUCCUGUACUUGGUGUUACUGCGAAGGGGGGACGGAGAAGGCUAUGUUAGCCGGGCGACGGUUGUCCCGGUUUAAGCAUGUAGGCUGGUUGUCCAGGCAAAUCCGGAUAAUCAAGGCUGAGGUGUGAUGACGAGGCACUACGGUGCUGAAGUAACAAAUGCCCUGCUUCCAGGAAAAGCCUCUAAGCAUCAGGUAACAUCAAAUCGUACCCCAAACCGACACAGGUGGUCAGGUAGAGAAUACCAAGGCGCUUGAGAGAACUCGGGUGAAGGAACUAGGCAAAAUGGUGCCGUAACUUCGGGAGAAGGCACGCUGGUGUGUAGGUGAAGUCCCUGCGGAUGGAGCUGAGACCAGUCGAAGAUACCAGCUGGCUGCAACUGUUUAUUAAAAACACAGCACUGUGCAAACACGAAAGUGGACGUAUACGGUGUGACGCCUGCCCGGUGCCGGAAGGUUAAUUGAUGGGGUUAUCCGUAAGGAGAAGCUCUUGAUCGAAGCCCCGGUAAACGGCGGCCGUAACUAUAACGGUCCUAAGGUAGCGAAAUUCCUUGUCGGGUAAGUUCCGACCUGCACGAAUGGCGUAAUGAUGGCCAGGCUGUCUCCACCCGAGACUCAGUGAAAUUGAACUCGCUGUGAAGAUGCAGUGUACCCGCGGCAAGACGGAAAGACCCCGUGAACCUUUACUAUAGCUUGACACUGAACAUUGAGCCUUGAUGUGUAGGAUAGGUGGGAGGCUUUGAAGCGUGGACGCCAGUCUGCGUGGAGCCAACCUUGAAAUACCACCCUUUAAUGUUUGAUGUUCUAACGUUGGCCCCUUACCGGGGUUGCGGACAGUGUCUGGUGGGUAGUUUGACUGGGGCGGUCUCCUCCCAAAGCGUAACGGAGGAGCACGAAGGUUAGCUAAUCCUGGUCGGACAUCAGGAGGUUAGUGCAAUGGCAUAAGCUAGCUUGACUGCGAGCGUGACGGCGCGAGCAGGUGCGAAAGCAGGUCAUAGUGAUCCGGUGGUUCUGAAUGGAAGGGCCAUCGCUCAACGGAUAAAAGGUACUCCGGGGAUAACAGGCUGAUACCGCCCAAGAGUUCAUAUCGACGGCGGUGUUUGGCACCUCGAUGUCGGCUCAUCACAUCCUGGGGCUGAAGUAGGUCCCAAGGGUAUGGCUGUUCGCCAUUUAAAGUGGUACGCGAGCUGGGUUUAGAACGUCGUGAGACAGUUCGGUCCCUAUCUGCCGUGGGCGCUGGAGAAUUGAGGGGGGCUGCUCCUAGUACGAGAGGACCGGAGUGGACGCAUCACUGGUGUUCGGGUUGUCAUGCCAAUGGCACUGCCCGGUAGCUAAAUGCGGAAGAGAUAAGUGCUGAAAGCAUCUAAGCACGAAACUUGCCCCGAGAUGAGUUCUCCCUGAGACUUUAAGUCUCCUGAAGGAACGUUGAAGACGACGACGUUGAUAGGCCGGGUGUGUAAGCGCAGCGAUGCGUUGAGCUAACCGGUACUAAUGAACCGUGAGGCUUAACCUUACAACGCCGAAG
rnacentral:rRNA from 1 species